rnacentral:ncRNA from 1 species
GAUCAAGCGACUAAGUGCAUAUGGUGGAUGCCUUGGCGAUCACAGGCGAAGAAGGACGUGGUAGCCUGCGAAAAGCUGCGGGGAGCUGGCAAACAAGCAUUGAUCCGCAGAUGUCCGAAUGGGGAAACCCACUGCGCAAGCAGUAUCCCUGGCUGAAUACAUAGGCCAGCGGAGGCGAACCGGGUGAACUGAAACAUCUCAGUAGCUCGAGGAAAAGAAAUCAACCGAGAUUCCGAAAGUAGUGGCGAGCGAAAUCGGAAGAGCCUUUACGAUUUAGCGUGUGCGAUAGUCGAACGGGAUGGAAAGCCCGGCCGUAGCAGGUGAUAGCCCUGUAGGCGAAAUCGCGCAUGUGGAACUAAGCGUAAGAGAAGUAGGGCGGGACACGUGAAAUCCUGUUUGAAGAUGGGGGGACCAUCCUCCAAGGCUAAAUACUCGUGAUCGACCGAUAGUGAACCAGUACCGUGAGGGAAAGGCGAAAAGAACCCCGGAAGGGGAGUGAAAUAGAUCCUGAAACCGUAUGCAUACAAACAGUAGGAGCCUCCUUGAGGGGUGACUGCGUACCUUUUGUAUAAUGGGUCAGCGACUUACAUUCAGUGGCGAGGUUAACCGGAUAGGGAAGCCGUAGCGAAAGCGAGUCCGAACAGGGCGAUUCAGUCGCUGGGUGUAGACCCGAAACCAGAUGAUCUAUCCAUGGCCAGGUUGAAGGCACGGUAACACGUGCUGGAGGACCGAACCCACUAAUGUUGAAAAAUUAGGGGAUGAGCUGUGGAUAGGGGUGAAAGGCUAAACAAAUCUGGAAAUAGCUGGUUCUCUCCGAAAACUAUUUAGGUAGUGCCUCAAGUAUUACUGCGGGGGGUAGAGCACUGUUAUGGCUAGGGGGUCAUGGCGACUUACCAAACCAUGGCAAACUCCGAAUACCCGCAAGUAGAGCUUGGGAGACAGAGCACCGGGUGCUAACGUCCGGACUCAAGAGGGAAACAACCCAGACCGCCAGCUAAGGUCCCGAAUUAUCGCUAAGUGGGAAACGAAGUGGGAAGGCAUAGACAGUCAGGAGGUUGGCUUAGAAGCAGCCAUCCUUUAAAGAAAGCGUAAUAGCUCACUGAUCGAGUCGUCCUGCGCGGAAGAUGUAACGGGGCUAAGCGAUAAACCGAAGCUGCGGGUGUGUACUUUGUACACGCGGUAGGAGAGCGUUCUGUAAGCCUGCGAAGGUGGCUUGUAAANAAAAACAAAACCCCGCAGCGGUUGGGCUGCGGGGUUUUGAGGGAUAAAAGCCUGACGAUGACCUACUUUCACAGACGUGCGUCCACUAUCAUCGGCGCGAAGGCGUUUCACUGUCCUGUUCGG